GUAGAUAGAGAAGCUCUAUGAGGUUAGCCUCUUGGAAAGAAGCCAGACCUCUAUGGUAACAUCUUCAGGGAGAGUGACAUAAGAUCUCCCAGACCUCUUGAUAACAGGAGGUCAAAAGAGUGUGUGUGCACACAAUGGUGCUAAGACAACCUCAGGAUAGAGGUGAGCUCUCUUCUGGGUUCUAGAGAAGGUGAUAGGAGAGUAAGGAAAUGAGAAAACAAGCAUUGAGAUGAUGGGGAUGACUUUGGAAAAAGAAGACAGCUCUUAAGGAAAGAAUGGUGAAAUCAUAACAAUUUCAGUGUUGAAAUGGGUAUGGGACCAAGACUCAGUGAAAAAUGAAGAAAGGAAAAAAAAAAAGAAAACAACUCAGGCCUAGAAGCAUUUGAAAGAAUAAGAAUUUGAUCAUACGGAGAGGGAGAGAAGUCUGGUGGCAUCAGGUGAAGGUCUGGUCUGCUGCUGUGGUUUCCGUCUCACUCCUCAGUGCCUGUUUCAUCGUGAGCUGUUUGGGGCAAGAUAAAAAGGGAUUCGAGGAUGGCUAUUUAGUAUUUUGGAGCCCUGGCGGUGCUGUGGUUAAGAGCUUGGCUGCUAACCAAAAGUGAAUCAUGAUAUUUUUGUGAAUAGCAAAAUUGGGAAGAAGCUGUCCAAGCAACAAGAGUACGAACCAUUUCAUUCAACCGUGACCUGCCACAUAGAAAGAAAGGGGCUAAAAGGGAAAGGAUGGAGCUGCUGCCCAGAGAAUUGGGUCAUGUCUAAUACCAGCUGCUACUUUAUUUCUUCUGAAUUGAAUAAUUGGACUGAGAGUGAGAAGAACUGUGCUGGGAUGGGAGCUCAUCUGCUGGUGAUCAACGCUGAGGAGGAGCAGGUACCUUCUAACGGACCAUGAAGCAGGAGCCCUGCCUGGGGUUUGUUCAUCUGUUGGCUGAGAGGGGGUUUUAUUGUUCUGGGAUGUUGGUGCUGCUGCAGAAGGCUUUUAGGAAAGUGAAUAGGAGAGGUUCCUAAGCCUGUACAUUCUAUAUCUUCUUGCUGCUGUAAUAAAACCUCCUCCACUCAAAGAAAUUGUGCCAUUUACAAUGUAACAUGUGAGUGUUGAGUGGAAGGAAGAGAAAAUUUCAGUCUGAUAUAUCAGUUUGUUCUUUCAACAUGUAAAUUUCUUAUAUAUCAGUCACUACUUAACAAAGAAGGGGUAUUAAGUAGAAUAGAGAAAUAAAGUUGAAUCUUGAGAAUCACAAUCAACAUUCAGAAAUGAAGUUAAAGCAUUUCUGAAGUUAUGUAAGAAAAAUGAUUAAAUCUGUGAACGUUGUCUCAUGAACAACUUUGAAGAAUAUCAUUUCUUAGAGAAGGAAAGUGAGUAUGAGAUUAGAGUUCAGUCUGAUCAUGGUUAGAACUCUAUUCCAUGGGUUCAUAAGUGAUGUAUUUGGUCCUGCCCUGCUCAGCCACAGAAGUCCUGUGAUCAUGGUCAGGGGCCAUGUGGCUUUCCCUGGUUUCUAUUCUUUUCUUCUUUUCUCUCUAAGACCAUACAACCUAAGUACUCUACAGUCUGUGAGUCCUUUCUUUUCUUCUCUCAGCUAUUAAUAACUCAGAAGCUGGACAGGAAAGUUGCUUACUAUGUGGGGCUGUCAGACUCAGAAGGAACUCACCAGUGACAAUGGGUAGAGCAGUCACCAUACAACAAAAGUGUCACGUGAGUAUAGCAUUCAAUAAAAGAAUCCUGAAUCCUGCACCAUACUGUGCCAUUCCAGCUCUCAGCUACUAAACAACAAACAAUAACAAAGUAAUACUUAAAAAAAAAAAAAGUUGUAUUGGACACUGAAGUCUGUACUUUUAACCACAUUUAUAUCGCUAAAUACAAGAAAAAAUUCAUGUCGUAUAAGAUCAUAAUUAAUAAGAUUUAAUAUUUGUCCUAAAGCAAAAAUACUGAAUUUUGAUGAUAUUAUAAUUCUUAUUUAUGUAGUUUUUAGAGAACUUUAAAGUACUUUAGAAUACAUUACCACUUUUGAUCCUCAUACCAAUUGUGUGUCAUACUUGUGGAUAGUACUCAAUCCCCAUUUUUUAGGUAGGAAACUGGAAGCUCAGCAAAGAUGAAGUAGCAGAUGCAGAGAUCUUGACUAGUUCUCCAGACUUCAAUAGCAGUGUGUAAAGAACAAACUGUAUUGAUACUUGGGACCAGAGGGAAAUCUUUUCAUCACUGAAGGAAGCCCUAUGGGAUUGGUGGAGCCCUGGUUGUGUAGUGGUUAAGACCUUGGCUGCUAACCAAAAGGUUGUCAGUUUGAAUCCCGCAGCCACUCCUUAGAAACUCUAUGGGGCAGUUCUACUCUGUCCUACAGGGUCACUAUAAGUCGGAAUCAACUAGAGGGCAAGGGGUUUGGUUUUUUGUUUUUGUUUUUUAAUGGGAUUGGCAGCCCCACUGGAACAGGACAGAAGGAUGUACAAGCAGACGGGAGCCUCUGGGAUUCCUGAUGGGAGGAUGUUUAAUGCGGCCUGAGUUGCUUAAAGUGGCAGAAUACUGGGUGAUGUGGGUGCAAUUUUCAAGGGAAAUGUCAGUGACACAGAUGGAGGAGAAGCUGCUUAAACUUGAGGGUUUUACAAAAGGAGGCAGCAUGAGAAGUGGGGGAAGGAAUGAUUGGACGUAUCUGACCUGGACACCACACUGUUCAACCCAGCUCCUUCAGUCUCUCUUUUCAAAGUACAUUUGAAGAAAUAGCCUCAUCCUUUUUCUCUUUUUCAAAUUCUGGCAUCCUAGCGAACCCAAUGAUUAUAAUGAGCUUCGUGUUUUCAUAAUUUUUCUUAAUGGAAACUGGGGCUGGACUGACAUCCCUUGUGAUGGAAUUCAAAAGUCAAUCUGUGAGAUGAUGAAGAUCUACUUAUGAGUGGAACAUUCUCCAUGAAUAUGUGGUUGGAUUGGCAUUCACCAUGAAAGGAUUAACUUACUCUUUUCAUUUUUAUGGAAGUGUUGUGUAAGGGACGUCCAUAGAAUUUUUCAGUAAGCUGCCAUCUCUUCCAUUUAUGGUGGAAUCAGUUCAUACAGUUAUUUAUUCACGAAGUGAACAUUGAUUGAGAAUUUUCUAUGAGCCAGAGAUUUUACUGGAGAGUCCUUUUGCAGACACAUGGAGGGAGCAUGAGACUUCUCUCCUAAUUUCUGUCUGACUGCUAAUGGGUUAGGUACUGACAUCAGUAUUUGAUGUGGCUCCUCCCAUGUCUGGAUUUUUCUCUUUAUGGCCUGCCCAAAAUAGUUUUCCAUCUCUCUUAGAUAGAUUCAUUUCUCUUAGCUGAAAGCAUACUAUGUAGCAGCAAGAAUACAGGACACAUCUAUAGAAGGAAAGGUUCUAGCUUUAGCCUAGUAAAUUAUUUAUGUUCAGUCUUAGGCUGGCAGAUAUUUCUUUGCUUUAUAGAAACUAUGCAUUUCUGUGUAUGGAAACUAUGCAUUUCUGUGUGUGGAUUGUCACUCAGAAUGGCCUCUGGUUCGAUUUUAUUCCUCUUUUUACUAAAGUUCCUACAGAACUUCUACUACAAUAAAAAAUAUGUAUUUAUAAUGCAGCUUAUAAUUCAUUGCUGUAGCCUGGUGAUUAACACUGAUUAUGAUAAAAAUUGUUCCAUCCAUGGUUUUACUUGUAAUAGAUUUUCCCAGUGUGACCUGAGAUUAUGCCCUGAUCAUCUUGAGGCAAUUGAGUCAUUUCAUUUCUUCAGCCAUGCAUUUCCUGACUAUACAUUUAUUAGGAUAGGUUAUUUUAGCAGUUUGAGCUCAACCACUGUAUGCAGAAUUCACAGGUUUAAGGCUCAGGGAACAACGGAUACACAAUUCCUCUCACUUGUCCAUCUACAUGAGAAGUUUUAAACCUUGCUUGCACAUGAUGUUCACAAUCCUAGGGAGCUUUUAAAAAAGAUCUCAUACCUAGCAUCUGUUAUGUUUUCAAGUUCUUCUAAAUUGACACUCUCUGUUCUACAUCUUCAGUAGAAGGGGUACCAAAUUAAAAAAAGAAAAAGAAAAAAGUCUCUCCUAUGGAAUAUCAAUUUAUGCAUGAGCUCAGACCUAUGGGGUAGACACCUUCCCAACAGAUGUGAAGGGACUACAUUUGGUAACUGUAUUUGUUUCCUGUUGCCGCUGUAACAAAUUACCACAAAUGUAAAACUUAAAAGAAAGAAGAAAAAGUGGCUUAAAACAACACAAAUUUACUUUCUUACAGUUAGGGAGGACAAAAGAAAUCAGUUUCACUAGGCUAAAUUCAAGGUGUCAGCAGGGCUGGUUCCUUCCAGAGGCUCUAGGGAAGAAUCCAUUUUCUUGUCUUUUUUUAGCUUCUAGCAGCCACCUGUAUUUUUUUUGCUGUGGCCUUUUCCUCCAUCUUCAAAGUAUAUCAUUCCAAUCUCUGCUUCUGUCAUCACAUCUCUUCUAACUAUGACUCUUUCUGUAACUCUCUCAAAAGGACCAUUGUAAUUACAUUGGACCCACCUUGGAUAAUCCAGGAUAAUCUUACCAUCUCAAAAUGCUGAAUUUAAGCACAUCUGUAAAGUCCCUUUUGCUGUAUAAAGUAACAUUCACAGAUUCUGGGGAUUAGAAUGUGGGCAUAUUUGAGGGUAGAAUUCUUACCUUCCAUGUGGAAGACCUUGGUUUGAUUCCUGCAAGUGAAAGCUUGCAUGUUGCUGAUGCUGAACAGGUUCCAGCAGAACUUCCAGGCUAAAACAAGAAAGGCCUGGUGAUCUACUCUGAAAAACUAGAG